AGAGUUUGAUCCUGGCUCAGGACGAACGCUGGCGGCGUGCUUAACACAUGCAAGUCGAGCGGUAAGGCCCUUCGGGGUACACGAGCGGCGAACGGGUGAGUAACACGUGAGCAAUCUGCCCUUCACUCUGGGAUAGCCUCGGGAAACUGAGAUUAAUACCGGAUACGACCACUUCAGGCAUCUGAUGGUGGUGGAAAGUUCCGGCGGUGAAGGAUGAGCUCGCGGCCUAUCAGCUUGUUGGCGGGGUAAUGGCCCACCAAGGCUUCGACGGGUAGCCGGCCUGAGAGGGUGACCGGCCACACUGGGACUGAGACACGGCCCAGACUCCUACGGGAGGCAGCAGUGGGGAAUAUUGGACAAUGGGCGAAAGCCUGAUCCAGCAACGCCGCGUGAGGGAUGACGGCCUUCGGGUUGUAAACCUCUUUCAGCAGGGACGAAGCGCAAGUGACGGUACCUGCAGAAGAAGCACCGGCCAACUACGUGCCAGCAGCCGCGGUAAUACGUAGGGUGCGAGCGUUGUCCGGAAUUAUUGGGCGUAAAGGGCUCGUAGGCGGUUUGUCACGUCGGGAGUGAAAACUCGGGGCUCAACCCCGAGCCUGCUUCCGAUACGGGCAGACUAGAGGUAUGCAGGGGAGAACGGAAUUCCUGGUGUAGCGGUGAAAUGCGCAGAUAUCAGGAGGAACACCGGUGGCGAAGGCGGUUCUCUGGGCAUUACCUGACGCUGAGGAGCGAAAGUGUGGGGAGCGAACAGGAUUAGAUACCCUGGUAGUCCACACCGUAAACGUUGGGCGCUAGGUGUGGGACUCAUUCCACGAGUUCCGUGCCGCAGCUAACGCAUUAAGCGCCCCGCCUGGGGAGUACGGCCGCAAGGCUAAAACUCAAAGGAAUUGACGG
rnacentral:rRNA from 1 species